AAGGAUUUAGUUAAAAUUAUAACAUUAAAACGUCAAUUUAGAUUUACCUGCAAGGUAUUCCUUG
rnacentral:tRNA from 1 species